CGCGCCGUCUCCGGCGGCCCCGUCUACGUUAGCGACUCCGUCGGCAGCCAUGACUUCGCGCUGCUCCGCCGCCUCGCGCUCCCGGACGGCACCGUCCUCCGCUGCGAGCACCACGCGCUCCCCACCCGCGACCUCCUCUUCCUCGACCCGCUCCACGACGGCAAGACCAUGCUCAAGAUCUGGAACCUCAACAGGUUCUCCGGCGUGCUCGGGGCUUUCAACUGCCAGGGCGGCGGGUGGAGCCCCGAGGCGCGGCGGAACAAGUGCUGGUCCCAGUGCUCCGUCCCCGUCACCGCGCGCGCCGGCCCGGCGGACGUCGAGUGGACGCAGGGCACCGCCAAACCCGUCGCCGUCGAGG
rnacentral:lncRNA from 1 species